rfam:Ictidomys tridecemlineatus contig051350, whole genome shotgun sequence.
UAGGGUGUAGCUCAAUGGUAGAGCAAGCACCUAGCAUGUGAGAAACCCUGGGUUCAAUCUCCAGCACCGAAA